AUGGUGGAAAGUCAAAGGUAUCUUUAAUCCUAAAUAAGUUUCUGAUACAAAAAUAAGUCCAUCAUCUAGAGAGUUACACUGUUGUGAAAAUGUUUUAAUAAAGAAUGUAAUGUUUACAGGUAAAUUUCAGGGCUCUUUUUCUCAAGAGCCAAAUAAUGAAGAUUCAUGGAGCUCUUCAUAUCUUCCAGAUGGAAAUGGUGAUGUAGGUGAUUGGGGUUUAAUGGAUCUGAUAUCUUCAGAUGAUAAUUCCCUUAUCAAAAAGGGUGAUUUUUCUGAAUAUCUUCCAGAUGGAAAUGAUGAUGUAGGUGAUUGGGGUUUAAUGGAUCUGACAUCUUCGGAUGAUGACUCUCUUAUCGAAAAUGAUGAUUUUUCUGACGAUGAAGAAGAUGAUGAUUUCUUUGAUGAUGAAAAAACUGUACAUGAUCCAAUUUCAGCAAAUGGCGAUGAAAGAACUGCGCAUAAUUCAAUUUUAGCAAAUUUAGACAUGUUGUUAAUUGAAAGUAAUGAUGAUAGAAAGCUGAUGGAUGAGUUUUAUGAGAAAGUAAAAAACGUUAAAGAGAAAUAUAGGCAAACAGAGAGUGCUUUAAACCGCAUUCAAUAUAUAACAGAUAAAUACUUAGAAAAAGGGAUAAGGCUAAACUUAUGUUAUAGUAACUGUGGCGAGACUGUGACAAAUCUUAUAUUUGAAGAAAUAACAGGUAUUCUUGAUAAUAUUGUGCGUGUAAGAUCCAGUACCACAACAUCUAAGGGGGGGUAUAGCUAUAGCGAUGCAGAUGGAUUAUCAAUUAACAAUUUAGAUACAAUACAAAAAAUUGUUGAGAGUUUGUUAUUAAAAGGUGGAAAGGUAAGACGAGAUCUCUUUUAUCAUGAUGAAAUGCAGUAUGCAACUGAAGCAUUUAUGAAUAAUGAAAAUUUCCAAUUUGAUGAUCAUAUUUAUAUA